UGACACCCCCUCCCAACACACAGGGGGCUCCCCCCGCAGCAGCCACAGCAGCCGCUUCUGAAUCUCCAGGGCACCAACUCAGCCUCCCUCCUCAACGGCUCCAUGCUGCAGAGAGCUUUGCUUUUACAGCAGUUGCAAGGACUGGACCAGUUUGCAAUGCCACCAGCCACGUAUGACACUGCCGGUCUCACCAUGCCCACAGCAACACUGGGUAACCUCCGAGGCUAUGGCAUGGCAUCCCCAGGCCUCGCAGCCCCCAGCCUCACACCCCCACAACUGGCCACUCCAAAUUUGCAACAGUUCUUUCCCCAGGCCACUCGCCAGUCCUUGCUGGGACCUCCUCCUGUUGGGGUCCCCAUGAACCCUUCCCAGUUCAACCUUUCAGGACGGAACCCCCAGAAACAGGCCCGGACCUCCUCCUCUACCACCCCCAAUCGAAAGGAUUCUUCUUCUCAGA
rnacentral:lncRNA from 1 species